CAGUUUUUUAAACAGUCCUGAGACACGUGCUCGGGUUGAGUGUUCGUGACUUUACUUCGACCUGGAACUCACGUCUCUCUUCCUAAUUCAUCUGUCAGGAGUCCAUCCUGCACUCGUCCCCCAGGGCAUCUGUCUAGGAUCUGCCAUGCUCAUCAGUGGAGGAGAAGAGAAGGCUAACUGGGAGCCUGUACUGGCUGUAAAUCUGACCAUGCAGGGAGGGAGGGGAACCUGCAGUGGCCACACUUCUACUGCAGCCCACUGCUGGUGUCGCUGCUCGAGGUUCUGUCCAGGAACACACAGCUGGACUCCAGGACUUUGAACAGCUGCAGAAUUUCUGCAUAUACACAGCUGUGAUCAACACCCAGCAGGUACCAGCAUCUGAACUGUCUCAAACAAAGUUUAAAUGAACCAUCUAUUUACUUAUUUGAUAA